rnacentral:rRNA from 1 species
UACGUAGGCAGCAAGCGUUGUUCGGAGUUACUGGGCGUAAAGGGUGUGUAGGCGGUUCUUUUAAGUUUGGUGUGAAAUCUCCCGGCUCAACUGGGAGGGUGCGCCGAAUACUGAGGGACUAGAGUACGGGAGAGGAAAGUGGAAUUCCUGGUGUAGCGGUGAAAUGCGUAAAUAUCAGGAGGAACACCGGUGGUGUAGACGGCUUUCUGGACCUAACUGACGCUGAGACACGAAAAGCGUGGGUAGCAAACAGG